ACUCAGAAUGCAAAGCAGGGGCCAGAAAGCAGGUUCCACCAUCUCCUCCUGGAGAUGGCAGCAAACUGAGGCAGGUACAGUCGCGCGCGCCACGCUGGUACGUUUCAUAUGCUCUAUUUGCUUUUCUCUGUAACUUAACAAGCCAUCAUGGGAACAGCCAACAACAGUCCAUCAGCCAUAAACCUCUUUGAGGAGAUGAAAAAUUAUACCCAGCCUGACGUCCUGUGUCACACGUUUGACCUCCUCUCUAACCUUCACAAGUUGCUCCCAAACCGUCUGGUGGAAGUGCUUCAUUCCUACAGAAGUGAAGACGACAAAAUUAAAUGUGAGAAUUCCGAAUUCUCGGGCUUGGAAAAGAUCUUAGCAAGACACCAGUUGCCGAAAGAGGUUAGUCUGACUCCAAAGCCCAGCAAAAUGCCCUCAUGGAAAAGAAAAACUAUCAACAAUAUAAGCGGCAACUGGAGGAAAUGUCACAUGUGGAAGAAAAACACAUACGAGCCGCCCAUGUGCACGAUCAUUGUUAGGUGGGCAAAAAAGAACUUGCAACCCUCAGAGGACCUCAAGUCGGUGAUGCAAAGACUGUCCGCACUAGGCCCAAUUAUCUCAGUCACUCCUUGUGGACGACAAAGUGCUGUCGUGGUGUACAAAGAUACGACCUCGGCUUGCAAGGCUGUGAGUGCUUUUCAGAAAAUAUCCGCAGGCACAAUGUUCCAGUGCACAUGGCAGCAUCGAUUCAUGUCAAAAAGGAGACCUUGGACAAGAAAACGUCCUUUAAGAAUAUAAUCAGUCAACAUAGCUUCAAGAAUAUAAUCAGAAAAGCAGCCACAAUUAAGGAACCAUAAACAGCAAAGCUUCAUAGUCUUCUGGAUAUGUAGAAUCUACUGGAAACUCUCAAGUUCUAAACAAUUCCCAACUCCACUGAGUUAAGCAAACACUUUAAUCCCCUUCCACAAAAAAUAGGAAUAAGGCUGAAAUUCUACAGUUGCGUAAGUGAAAGAAA